rnacentral:rRNA from 1 species
CCGCAAUGGGCGAAAGCCUGAUGGAGCAAUACCGCGUGAGGGAUGACGGAUCGUGGUCUGUAAACCUCUUUUCUUAGAAGAAUUCAUGACGGUACUUAAGGAAUAAGCACCGGCUAACUCCGUGCCAGCAGCCGCGGUAAUACGGGGGGUGCAAGCGUUGUCCGGAAUGAUUGGGCGUAAAGCAUCUGUAGGUGGUUUUUAAAGUCGACUGUUAAAGCCCAGGGCUUAACUUUGGAGAAGCGGUCGAGGACUUAAGGACUUGAGUUUGGUAGGGGUAGAGGGAAUUCCUAGUGGAGCGGUGAAAUGCACAGAGAUUAGGAAGAACACCGAGGGCGAAAGCACUCUACUGGGCCAUAACUGACACUGAGAGAUGAAAGUCGGGGGAGCGAAAGGGAUUAGAUACC